AGGAUGAACGCUGGCGGCGUGCUUAACACAUGCAAGUCGAACGAUGAAGCCGGAGCUUGCUCUGGUGGAUUAGUGGCGAACGGGUGAGUAACACGUGAGUAACCUGCCCUUGACUCUGGGAUAAGCACUGGAAACGGUGUCUAAUACCGGAUACGAGCUUUAGCCGCAUGGCUAGGAGCUGGAAAGAAUUUCGGUCAAGGAUGGACUCGCGGCCUAUCAGGUAGUUGGUGAGGUAACGGCCCACCAAGCCUACGACGGGUAGCCGGCCUGAGAGGGUGACCGGCCACACUGGGACUGAGACACGGCCCAGACUCCUACGGGAGGCAGCAGUGGGGAAUAUUGCACAAUGGGCGCAAGCCUGAUGCAGCAACGCCGCGUGAGGGACGACGGCCUUCGGUUGUAAACCUCUUUAGUAGGAAGAAGCGAAAGUGACGGUACCUGCAGAAAAAGCACCGGCAACUACGUGCCAGCAGCCGCGGU
rnacentral:rRNA from 1 species